GGUGCGAGCGUUGUCCGGAAUUAUUGGGCGUAAAGAGCUCGUAGGCGGUCUGUCGCGUCGGUCGUGAAAACUUGGGGCUUAACCCUGAGCUUGCGGUCGAUACGGGCAUGACUGGAGUUCGGCAGGGGAGACUGGAAUUCCUGGUGUAGCGGUGAAAUGCGCAGAUAUCAGGAGGAACACCGGUGGCGAAGGCGGGUCGCUGGGACGUUACUGACGCUGAGACGCGAAAGCGUGGGGAGCAAACAGG
rnacentral:rRNA from 1 species